rnacentral:snoRNA from 1 species
AUCCCAUGAUGAGGACAGUCUUCAAUGUAAUUCUGAAAUUUUUCCCAUGCUUCAGUGAAUAAUUCAUCAUUUUGUUGUUGGAAAAUUGCAAUCUUCCCAAGUAGUC